rnacentral:rRNA from 2 species
ACGGGUGAGUAACGCGUGGGAACAUACCCAACUCUACGGAAUAACUCAGGGAAACUUGUGCUAAUACCGUAUACGCCCUUCGGGGGAAAGAUUUAUCGGAGUUGGAUUGGCCCGCGUUGGAUUAGCUAGUUGGUGGGGUAAAGGCCUACCAAGGCGACGAUCCAUAGCUGGUCUGAGAGGAUGAUCAGCCACAUUGGGACUGAGACACGGCCCAAACUCCUACGGGAGGCAGCAGUGGGGAAUAUUGGACAAUGGGCGCAAGCCUGAUCCAGCCAUGCCGCGUGUGUGAUGAAGGCCUUAGGGUUGUAAAGCACUUUCAUCGGAGAAGAUAAUGACGGUAUCCGGAGAAGAAGCCCCGGCUAACUUCGUGCCAGCAGCCGCGGUAAUACGAAGGGGGCUAGCGUUGUUCGGAAUUACUGGGCGUAAAGCGCACGUAGGCGGAUCGAUCAGUCAGGGGUGAAAUCCCAGAGCUCAACUCUGGAACUGCCUUUGAUACUGUCGGUCUAGAGUAUGGAAGAGGUGAGUGGAAUUCCGAGUGUAGAGGUGAACUUCGUAGA